rnacentral:rRNA from 1 species
ACGAGCGCAACCCUUGAUCUUAGUUGCCAGCAUUCAGUUGGGCACUCUAAGGUGACUGCCGGUGACAAACCGGAGGAAGGUGGGGAUGACGUCAAAUCAUCAUGCCCCUUAUGACCUGGGCUACACACGUGCUACAAUGGAUGGAACAAAGGGCAGCGAAGCCGCGAGGUGAAGCCAAUCCCAUAAAACCAUUCUCAGUUCGGAUUGCAGGCUGCAACUCGCCUGCAUGAAGCCGGAAUCGCUAGUAAUCGCGGAUCAGCAUGCCGCGGUGAAUACGUUCCCGGGCCUUGUACACACCGCCCGU